UACGGGGGGGCAAGCGUUGUUCGGAAUUACUGGGCGUAAAGGGCGCGUAGGCGGCCUUCUAAGUCGGACGUGAAAUCCCUCGGCUUAACCGAGGAACUGCGUCCGAUACUGAAAGGCUUGAAUCCGGGAGAGGGAUGUGGAAUUCCAGGUGUAGCGGUGAAAUGCGUAGAUAUCUGGAGGAACACCGGUGGCGAAGGCGGAUCUCUGGACAGCUCCUGACGCUGAGGCGCGAAGGCUAGGGGAGCGAAUGGG
rnacentral:rRNA from 1 species